rnacentral:tRNA from 3 species
GGGGCCUUAGCUCAGUUGGUAGAGCGCUGCCUUUGCAAGGCAGAUGUCAGGAGUUCGAAUCUCCUAGGCUCCACC